rnacentral:rRNA from 1 species
GACGAACGCUGGCGGCGUGCCUAAUACAUGCAAGUUGAGCGAUGAAGUUUGGUGCUUGCACCAAUUUGAAGAGCAGCGAACGGGUGAGUAACGCGUGGGGAAUCUGCCUUUGAGCGGGGGACAACAUUUGGAAACGAAUGCUAAUACCGCAUAACAACUUUAAACAUAAGUUUUAAGAUUGAAAGAUGCAAUUGCAUCACCCAAUGAUGAUCCCGCGUUGUAUUAGCUAGUUGGUGAGGUAAAGGGUCAACAAGGCGAACAUACCUAGCCCAACUUGGAGGGUGGUCCGCCACAAUGGGACUGAGAACCGGCCCAAACUUCUUCGGGAGGCAGCAGUAGGGAAUCCUCGGGAAUGGACGGAAGGCUGAACGAGCAACGCCGGGGGAGGGAAGAAGGGUUUCGGAUCGUAAAAAUCCGUUUGUAAGGAAGAACGUUGGUGGGAAUGGAAAGUGCAUGAAGUGACGGUAACUACCCAGAAAGGGACGGCUAACUACGUG